AGUGAACGCUGGCGGUAGGCCUAACACAUGCAAGUCGAACGGCAGCACAGUAAGAGCUUGCUCUUAUGGGUGGCGAGUGGCGGACGGGUGAGGAAUACAUCGGAAUCUACUUUUUCGUGGGGGAUAACGUAGGGAAACUUACGCUAAUACCGCAUACGACCUACGGGUGAAAGCAGGGGAUCUUCGGACCUUGCGCGAUUGAAUGAGCCGAUGUCGGAUUAGCUAGUUGGCGGGGUAAAGGCCCACCAAGGCGACGAUCCGUAGCUGGUCUGAGAGGAUGAUCAGCCACACUGGAACUGAGACACGGUCCAGACUCCUACGGGAGGCAGCAGUGGGGAAUAUUGGACAAUGGGCGCAAGCCUGAUCCAGCCAUACCGCGUGGGUGAAGAAGGCCUUCGGGUUGUAAAGCCCUUUUGUUGGGAAAGAAAGGCAGCAGGUUAAUACCCCGCUGUUCUGACGGUACCCAAAGAAUAAGCACCGGCUAACUUCGUG
rnacentral:rRNA from 1 species